rnacentral:lncRNA from 1 species
UUAUAUUGUGUUUCUUCAUUACAAAAAAGAUACUUCUUAUUUUGGAUUUUAUCAAAAUUGUGUUUGGUCUCGCCUCUCCUUAAAAGAAAUAGAAAAAUAGAAAAUAAGUAGAGUCAAACGCAAUCUUUAAGACAAAUUAUUGGUGGGAUGGAACGAGUUGACCAAGUUUUGUCAACUUAUUUGAUUAGAACUUCUCUGUCAUGAGAAGAUAGAAAUUUCUCCUUUCAACUAAUUUUCAAUUUCUACCAAACACGAUUUUGAACAAAAUAACUACACAUUGCUUCGAUCAACCAACAAAGUAUUGCGUAGAGUGUAUAUGAGGUGAAUUAAGUUUCAUAUUACUUAAAAAAAAUGGAGGUUAAAUACAUUAUAAGUGAGAUGACUCAUAACUUAAUAUACAGUUUUUAGAAAGGUGUCGAACUCACACUUAUAUAAUUGUUUUGAGCCAAAUGUGGAUCCAUCCCAAAGAAGGGAAGGCUUAAGUAUUUAGACCAAGUCUCCACAAGUAUUUUAAGUGUUUGAAAAUUCAAAAUCUACAAUACCUUAGGCGAUGAGUUAUUGAAAAGAGUUAUUAUAUGAGAUUUAUCAAGUGGCCGGGAGAGGUUUUAAUGAGAAUGUGAGAAGUAAAUUUGGACCAUACAAUACGUGAUAAUGAUCAUUUGACAAAAAGUCACAUGACAUUUAAUUUUGUUCUAAUCUUAACGUGUUAAUGCAUUUGAUGUACUACGUUAAUGCAUUAAUUUGAUGUACUACGUUAAGAUUCAUUCGUCU